rnacentral:ncRNA from 1 species
GAGAUGGUCUCGGGCCCAGUGCGUACGCAACCAGCUCGAGACGCCGAUGCGAGCCCCGGGAAGAGUUUCUUUCUCUGUAAGGAGAUCGAGUCCCUGGAAUGGGUUCGCCCCGAGAUAGGGAUGGUGGCUCCGUAGAGCAGUGCGGUUCUUGCGCUGUCCGGUGCGCUCGCGUCGGCCCUUGAAAAUCCGAGUGAGAGAGUGUGAUUUUCGUGCCGGACCGUACCCACAUCCGCAGCAGGUCUCCAAGGUGAACAGCCUCUAGUCGAUGGACCAAUGUAGGUAAGGGAAGUCGGCAAAACGGAUCCGUAACCUUGGGAUAAGGAUUGGCUCUGAGGACUGAGCCGGUCGGGCUGGGGACCUGAAGCAGGAACGGCACUGCACCGGGACUGGGCGGGGCUCGCCGUUCACGCGGCGCGGCCAAGCCCGGACCAGCGUCGGGACCUUCCUGUGGAAAGCCUCAGCUGCGCGGCGUCUGAGGGCUUCGUGCCCAAAGUGCUAUGCUUCGGCCGGCAAAAAACAGUCAACUCAGAACUGGCACGGACCGGGGGAAUCCGACUGUCUAAUUAAAACAAAGCAUUGCGAUGGCCGCUGGUCGGUGUUGACGCAAUGUGAUUUCUGCCCAGUGCUCUGAAUGUCAACGUGAAGAGAUUCAUCAAAGCGCGGGUAAACGGCGGGAGUAACUAUGACUCUCUUGUGGGGGUUUUUGGAGGUCGCUCUUCCUCGAUUAAGAGUUAUAAUACGAUUUUCUUCCUUUUGUCGGGGGCGGGGGGGUUCUCUCGCUUGCCUGGUGAGGGCGUAACUCGGCUCCCCUAAUCCCACUAACACUUUGGGCUUGGGUGGGUCACGUUUGGGUCCCUAGUUGGGCGGUUAAAUCUCCCGAACUGGGGACUGGAGCGGCCGGUUGCGUUCCCCAAUGGGUUCCAGCCAUAGUGCCCUUCAGUUGCCCGACGAUAAGGGAGUAAAUAGGAAAAAAAAAUAGCCAAAUGCCUCGUCAUCUAAUUAGUGACGCGCAUGAAUGGAUUAACGAGAUUCCCACUGUAAAGUAAAGGGACAGAUGGUGGAUAAUUCGAUAUGAGAUAUAAAAUUUACAAGCCAGUAAUUGUAACCCUUAACAUUCUUUUUACAAAAAGAAAAAAAAAUAUAUAACUUAACAUUCUCCAUGUUUCCAAAUAGAAGAAAAAAUGUAAAUAUGUAAAUAAUGUACAAAUGUGAAUACUGGGAGAUCAUGUGGAUGGCCUGAAUUCAUAAACUAAGUAUGAAAAUAGAGUAUACCCAUCAAAACGGAUCAUUCUAAACUCAUU